CAACGUCCAGUGCUGUUUAUAUCCUUGGGGAGUUUGUGAAGGAGAAGAUCACAGCCGCUAGACCGCUGGUCAGAUUAUUCCAUCACUAUGGUCAAAUACUUCCAAUCAUUAGGGUACUAGCGGAGCAUGAGAUCUCAACCACAACGGAUCCGCAUACGAUAUUCCGUGGCAACUCGUUGGCGUCAAAGUGCAUUGAUGAGUUCAUGAGGUUACAGGGUCUUCAUUACCUACACGAUGUACUGAAGAGUGUGGUGGAUGACAUCUAUGAAGAAAGGAAACAAUGUGAGAUAGACACUACCAAGUUUAAAGAUGGAGAAAACUUGGAAGCUAAUCUUGCCAAUUUACAGCAUUAUAUUGAAAAAGCGUUUCAAGCCAUCGUCGGCUCGGCAGCAACAUGCCCAACUUCAAUGUGUGAAGUGUUUUAUUACCUCAAGGAAGCCGCCUCAAGACAGUUUCCAGACGACCCUGAUGCCAAAUACUCCGCUGUGAGCGGUUUUGUCUUCCUUCGAUUCUUUGCUCCUGCCAUCCUCUCUCCAAGGUUAUUCCACCUCAAGAAAGAAAACCCUGAUGAGUUAGUCAGCAGAACACUUAAGAUGGUUUCCAAGGCGAUACAAACACUUGGUAACCAUGUCAACCCAGAUAAACUGAGUUCUGUCAAUAUGAAAGAGGAGUACAUGACACCACUCUACUCAAACAUACUGGAUAGAGAACAUGUACAAGGAAUCAGAAAGUUUCUGGAGAAAGUAUCGUCAAGUAAAUCCAAGACCAAGUCCAUGGAGGCCCCGGUGGUAUUAAAAGAAGGGUACAUGAUAAAGAGAGCGCAGGGUAGGAAGAGAUUAGGUAUCGGUAUGAAGAACUUCAAAAGGAGGUGGUUCAGGCUUACAAACAGAGAGCUUACAUAUUCUAAGAGUGAUGACUGUUUUCCGCUGUGUACGAUACCCAUCUCAGAUGUCUUAGCUGUGGAAAAGCUAGAAGAAGAAUCAUUCCAAAUGAAAUUUAUGUUCCAAGUAGUUCAACCAAAGAGAGCACUAUAUGUCCAAGCCAGCAACUGUGUAGAAGAGAAAGCCUGGAUCGACAUUCUUUCCAAUAUAUGCAAGAGCAAUCGUCAUAGAUUAAGCUAUUAUCAUCCCGCUGCCUUUGUCAAUGGUAAUUGGAUGUGCUGUAAACUGCAGAAUGAAUCAGACAGAGGCUGCACACCAGUAACAGGGGUGGUUCCGUGGAGUGUCACAUUAGAUAUAGACCCAGACAGAGAAAUGGAAAGGAUCUAUACCUUAUUCAAAGCCAACAUUGCCAAACUAGAAAAACUUGAAGAUGCAUGUGCAUUACAAGCCGUCUACCAAGGUACAAGGUCGGAAGCACCUCCUAUGCUGGUUGAAGACUCCAAGAGCUGCUUUGAGACUGUCAAAGGUCUACUGUACGAGUUACAGCAAAUAGAGGAGUCACAUGUCAAUUACAGAACAAGGAGAGAAGAGACUAGAGAGUAUGGAAGCAAGCAAACACCAAUCGGCGAUGAGAACUUCAACAAUUCCUUCAAAUGACAACUAGUCGUGGCAUUGUUUGGACUUUGCCUGGUUGGUUUGUACCAUGCCAGCAUUACUACCUUCCACUGAUGAACGGUGCUUCGUGGCUUCUUCAAGAAGAAUAUCCUCCCAUGAACCGUUUCUUCAAGCGUUACACUUCUGCCUGCGGCUCGUUAUUGGUUGCUACCAUCAGGAUAUCUUUUGACACACCUCUCAUUGUUUUCACUGUACCUGAUGGGGCUACAUGUAUGUCUGAAGGGUCAUCUCUGAAAAAAUGAACAGAUCUAUUGACAACAUCUUCUGCGGAAGAAGAGCCUACGUUGUUGAUCAGGCAACAUGAUUUCUUCGCAACCAUUCCUCGCCGAGGCUCGUAGAGGUUACUCCUUUUCAGUCGUCAUCGGUGGAUAAUUUUGAGCAGUCAGGAUUUAUUCCAAUGUACUCCACAUGACAAUUUAAUGAGCAAUGUGAGCAUGGUAUUUUAAGAAGCAAAAGAACGUUCAUUGCUGGGCUCUUUGAUCUAAAGCUCAACAAUUGCUCGCAGACUGACUCUACAAUCAAUCGCAUCGAUUAUUUUAUUUAAUCAAUUCUAAAAAAUCAGUCCCCCGAUUAAUCACCAAGCUUAUUUUAAAGGGCCAAGGUCACCCCUCCAACACUUGAGGUUUUUUCUGAAACUCCUCAGAAUCCAUUUCUAUCCUACAAUCAGUGAAUCAUUUCAUCAGUCAGUAUUGUUUGUAUGUUAGAUGUGAUCAGCUGUAUGGCACUGUGGACUUGACCUUUAAUGACGACUAUGCUUAAUGCCAUUGUCUGAUUAUGCAGUCACUGUUUUUUUUUUAAAUCGCUGUCUUUGCAUCAGACUUCCAAUCGGUUUUCAGUGAAAAUUAUUCACAUGAAUUAUUUCUGUGGUAUUUACAUCUUUUACUAAAGUCAUUAUCUCUGUUCACCACUCUGCAUGAAGAUUUGAAAGAGUAACCAGAUGAUGCUUCAGAUAUACAUGUAUUAGUCACACUGGACACUAAGGCCCAUAUUCUGAAGUCGGGUUUAAUUUAAACCCAGGUUUAAAGUUGUGUUCUAGGUAUGGAAAGCCAAUUGUUACAUAAAUCACUAACAGCAGAGAUAUCAUAUUUCAGCUCAUUUGACUCUCAAAUCAUUCUCAAUUGUCUAGGAACUAUGAAUAAGAUAAUUGUCUUCACCAUCGAAGAAUCAGGAAAGAGCACAGUAAACUUAAGAAACAUACAAUGCAAUAACAAUUUUGACCCUUUUGGCUUCCCAUAAUUUUAGCAGAGUUAGACCAUGGUCUAUGUUAAACUUGACUUCAGAAUACGGGCCUAAGGAUGCAAAGUAUUCAUGUUAAGUAAAUAUGAGAAUACUUGAAGCAAACAAAACCAUUUUACUUACUAAAGUAUUAUAAAAUCAUUGAUAAAAUCAUGGUAGUCGGCUGAGAUUUCAAAAUAGGUCUGUGGAUUAAGAUGUGUAAAUUAAAAGUAUUUUAAGAUGAAAUAUUGGGAAAGAGGGAUAGAAGCUGAAAUUCAGUGUGGAUAUAUUAUGUUAAAUGAAAUUAAUAUCCAGUACUUCAGAAAUGGAAAGUUACUCAUUUAGUACUUUGGUCAAUCAUCCUUAUUCUUUCCAAAAUGUGAUUGUCACAUUAAUACAUGUAGGAUGAACAUUGUAAUCUACUUGACUUCAGUAUUGUGUAGAAUAUGGUACUUAAAGAAAAAAAAAAAGAUAAGUACUUUUACUAGGAAUGCAAUAAUAGUAAUAUGAUUAGCUCAAAAAAUUGUUAUCAUCUCAUCUUAUUACCAUCAUCAUCAUCAUCAUGGCUAUCACCACCACCACUGUGACUGUUACUGCUGCCGGAUUUGUAUUAUUUGUAUUUAUUUAUUCAUAUGUUUUUUUAUAAGCUUUAUUAUUAUCAUUAUUUUGUAAAAAUUUUAAUCCAAUCGUUUGAUAAAUAGCGCCUUUUUCCGUUCAGUUACAAAAGCGCUGCAAUUCACAUCAUCCAUCCCUUUUCAACUUUUUGCUAGAUAUACAAUUGGCAAUUCAAAAUUAAUUACUCUUAUACAAUCUGCUUCAGUUGAGGCUUGAAAACAUGUACUUAUUGUUCCUUUUGCCAUGUGUUUACAUAUCAUACUAGUAAACUGAAGGUCAGUACUAUUACAGAUUUUGUUUUUUUGGUCAAUAAAAUGUACUAUUUUAAGAUGACAUUCCAUGUUUCCAUAGUCAAUUUCAUACUUUAUUCCUUUUGGCCAUCCUUUAAAGGGACAGUACACUGACAGACACUUAGUGUGGUGUGUCAUUAAUACCCAGUCUUGAAAUAUUCCUUUGCGAGAACUAUUCAUAAUAUCCUACAGAGAAUAAUUAACCUAUAAAAGAAUUGUAAAGAGGAACUAAAUGUUUUUAGAGGAAUACAUGUAGUACUUGUUUUGUUACUUGUUGACAUUAUGUUAGUAAUGACUGUCUUAUCAUUCAAAUGGGUUUAUAUUAUAAUACUACACUGCUCAGAAUGAAUGUUGCAUUAUGGGUUAUAUGAGUCUCUCUCGUCCCACGUCAGUCUUCAGUUUUCAGCAGGAUGUUUUCUUGUAAAUUAGAAAGCUAUUUUAGUUCAUGAAUGCACAUGAGAUUGACAAUCUGAUUAGGUUCUGCUUGACACCGUUCUCGCUGCCUUCCUAAAGCUACUAUAGUUUA